CGAAAGCCUGACGGAGCAACGCCGCGUGAGGGAUGAAGGCCUCUGGGCUGUAAACCUCUUUUCUCAAGGAAGAAGAUCUGACGGUACUUGAGGAAUAAGCCACGGCUAAUUCCGUGCCAGCAGCCGCGGUAAUACGGGAGUGGCAAGCGUAAUCCGGAAUGAUUGGGCGUAAAGCGUCCGCAGGCGGCCUUGUAAGUCUGUCGUUAAAGCGUGGAGCUUAACUCCAUUUCAGCGAUGGAAACUACAAGGCUUGAGUGUGGUAGGGGCAGAGGGAAUUCCCGGUGUAGCGGUGAAAUGCGUAGAUAUCGGGAAGAACACCAGUGGCGAAGGCGCGUUACUGGGCCGAAACUGACACUGAGGGACGAAAGCUAGGGUAGCG
rnacentral:rRNA from 1 species